rnacentral:rRNA from 1 species
AUGACGGAUGGCAACUCCAAUUUCGAAUGGGAGGUACACCGCGUGAUCAACCUGGAUUAUCUCUGGGCGCAAUUUGGCUACAAAGCUCUGGGCUUACCUCGCUGUCUUCCCGAGUUCCCAAUCGUCAGCGUCGAUGACCCAGAUGUUCUGUGCUGCCUGUUGAGGAAGAAAGAUUUUGAAGGCAAGGCGUGGAUGAUCAUGGUUGACAUGAACCAUGCAUAUCUCCGGUCAUGUAUUCCAUAUAUCAAUCGACAGUCCUACUGUGCUAAGUGUGUGGACGCGGGCUGUGCCGAGUGUGUGAAGGACAAAAACAUGUUUCCUAAUAUGCCCCUACUUCCAACAGUCUUCUCCAAAUACCUUGAAAGGCCAAGAACAAGUGGCUACAAGAAGCUCUCUUAA